GACUAAUAUGAUUGGGUUUGAACCAUCUAUUUAUUAGUUGGUUUAUCUGGAUUUUAAGGAAGAGUUCCAUGUGAAUCCACCACCUCCAUGCCAUUCACCAUGCCAAAUAAUUAUGUGGCAUCACAUUUAUUUUGGGAGUCAAGGAGAGGAGUCCUUCUCCUUUAUUUAUCUUAAAAUUCUUAUAUGUUUUUACAUGUCCCAUUAUUUUAUGCACCAUCAGAUAGAGCCUUGAGAUGUGGAACGUGGAAGAGAAGGAGUCCUUCUCUAAGAAGGAACUCUAUGCCAAAAUAAAUAUGGGACGUCCCUUGUUUUUGGGCGAUGAAAAAUGGAGUCCAUUUCACAUUGGACUCUUAAUUCCUUCCAUAUUCUCCACGUAUUUUUUAAUUCCUUGUGACAUGAGAUGGCACUUGAAAUUAUGGGUGCAGAAGAGAAGGAAGAGUCCUUCUUUGGUAAGGAGUUUGAAUGCCAAAAUAAAUUGGAUUCUUUCUCAUAUACGUUGAGUUUGUGGAAGAGUCUUAAUUGCUAAGGACUCUUGAAAUCUCAUGCUAACUCCUUUCCUACGCGCCAAGUGUUGGCGUAUUAAUUUUUUCUAGGUAGAGGAAGAGUCCUUCUGCUGGUUAACCUCUUUAAUUUUCAUGCCUUACUCUUGGAUUCCACGGAAAAAAUAAUUGUUGGCAUGUAAGAGUUAAGGGACGCCAAGAGUUGGCAUCCCAUGGUAUCCCCCCUUGUUUCCUAUUUAAAGGGGGCGCUACAAUCAGGUUGGUGUGCCAAUUUUUGGGUUGUAGUUAGGCGUGAAAAUGAGAGGAAAAUGAUGGAAAAAAUCUGAGACAAAGAUAAGAAAAGAGAGAGAGAAAAAUAAAAAGAAAAGAAAGAGAGAAAAAUAAAAGUA
rnacentral:lncRNA from 1 species